rnacentral:rRNA from 1 species
AAUCAACGCUGGCAGCGUGCCUCAGACAUGCAAGUCGAACGCGAAAGUCCCCUUCGGGGGACAAGUAGAGUGGCGCACGGGUGAGUAACACGUAGGUAAUCUACCUUUGGAUGGGGAAUAACAACCGGAAACGGUUGCUAAUACCGCAUAAUGCAGCGGCACCUAAUGGUGACAGUUGUUAAAGCGGGGGAUCGAAAGACCUCGCGUCUAAAGAGGAGCCUGCGGCGGAUUAGCUAGUUGGAAGGUAAUGGCUUACCAAGGCUACGAUCCGUAACCGGCCUGAGAGGGCGGUCGGGUCACACUGACACUGACAUACGGGUCAGACUCCUACGGGAGGCAGCAGUCGGGAAUUUUGGGCAAUGGGCGAAAGCCUGACCCAGCAACGCCGCGUGAAGGAUGAAAUCCCUCGGGAUGUAAACUUCGCAAGAACGGGAAGAAUAAGUAGGGACAA